rnacentral:rRNA from 1 species
GACGAACGCUGGCGGCGUGCUUAACACAUGCAAGUCGAACGGAGUCCAACUGAUCGCAAGUGAUGUGAAGACUUAGUGGCGAACGGGUGCGUAACACGUGAGAAACCUGCCCCGGUCUCUGGGAUAACAGUUGGAAACGACUGCUAAUACCGGAUGCCGCCGGCGGACCGCAUGGUCUGCCGUCGAAAGAUUUAUCGGAUCGGGAGGGUCUCGCGGCCUAUCAGCUAGUUGGUGAGGUAAUGGCUCACCAAGGCAUCGACGGGUAGCUGGUCUGAGAGGAUGAUCAGCCACACUGGGACUGAGACACGGCCCAGACUCCUACGGGAGGCAGCAGUGGGGAAUCUUGCACAAUGGGCGAAAGCCUGAUGCAGCAACGCCGCGUGCGGGAUGAAGGCCCUAGGGUUGUAAACCGCUUUCAGCAGGGAAGAAAUUGACGGUACCUGCAGAAGAAGGUGCGGCCAACUACGUGCCAGCAGCCGCGGUGAC